rnacentral:rRNA from 1 species
GAAAUGCGAUAAGUAAUGUGAAUUGCAGAAUUCAGUGAAUCAUCGAAUCUUUGAACGCACCUUGCGCUCCUCGGUAUUCCUUGGAGCAUGCCUGUUUGAGUAUCGUGAAAUCUUCAAAGUAAAUCUUUUGUUCACUCAAUUGGUUCUACUUUGGUAUUGGAGGUUUAUUGCAGCUUCACACCUGCUCCUCUUUGUGCAUUAGCUGGAUUCUCGGUGUUAUGCUUGGUUCCACUUGGCGUGAUAAGUUAAUUUAAUCGCUGAGGACACUCUCUAUAACCAAAAAGGAGAGGGAGGGGGGGUGGCCAAGGUAAAUACAGAUGAACCCGCUUCUAAUAGUCCAUUGGCUUGGACAAAAAUUAUUUAUUAUGAUCUGAUCUCAAAUCAGGUAGGACUACCCGCUGAACUUAAGCAUAUCAAUAAGCGGAGGAAAAGAAACUAACAAGGAUUCCCCUAGUAACCCU